rnacentral:rRNA from 1 species
GAUUUCUGGCUUGCUACCUUUGGCCGGCCACGGUUUCGUGUGUCAGUGCCACAGGUUCUAGCCAUCCUUCCAGUCGUGCCUCGUCUACUCUUCACUGAGUGGACGACAGGGCUGGAUCGUUUACUUUGAAAAAAUUAGAGUGUUUCAAGCAGGCUCAAUGCUAUGAAUACAUUAGCAUGGAAUAAUAAUUUAGGACUUCGGUUCUAUUUUGUUGGUUUCUAGGACUGAAGUAAUGAUUGAUAGGGAUAGUUGGGGGUGCUAGUAUUCAGCGGCCAGAGGUGAAAUUCUCGGAUUCGCUGAAGACUAACUUAUGCGAAAGCAUU